rnacentral:lncRNA from 1 species
CUUCCCCCCACCCCUGGAGGUUCCCAUAUUCCCCAGACCAGCAGCCCCCAAGAGCUUGAGAGCUCCGAGGCUGCCCCUCCCCCCUGCAGUCUGGGGGCCCUCCUGGUCCCACUAGCCAUUGCAGGGCUGCUCUGGAGGGCCGGAGUCUGCAGCGAGCCGGAGCGGCCCCGCAGCCCCCGAAAUAACUUGUUGUGGAAACACUUCGGGAUAAAUACGCCCAGCAGGGCUGAAAAUACCUCGACGCCCCAUCCGAGGUUCCUGCACACGCUGCAGCCUCGUCAAUCAGAGGGUGCAGGUCUGGGCCCUUGGAUCCUCGCCGCCCGCAGGCAACUCAACCAGCAUUAAGAACCUGCUCUCUGCUAGGCUCGGAAUCCGCCCGGUACACCACAGGCGCUUAAUAAAUGCUUGUUGGAUGAAUGAACGACUGACGCCCGAGAAAAAUAAAAUUCGAUCAGUUCAAUCUCAUCAGGCGCCUUUUAUGAUAGAUCAGGCACCACUCCAAGCUCUAGGGAUACAAAGAAAGACAAAAAAUAGCCCUUACCUUCAAGAAGCACAGAUUCUAGGAGGCCUUGAGUGACAUACCCAAACUCUUACGGUUUAAAGAGUUCCGAUUUGAACUCAACUAUUACGCCUCCUCCCUCAGCACGGGGAACUUAUGGAACUUGCCCACACGCAGUGCUUAAAUCCAGUAGAAAACACUCCAGAAAUAGUGUUUGUAUGAAUGAGGAGCCUGGUGGAGCGUUACCACGCAGUUUAAGGUUCAAAAGGUUUGCAUUUUCUGGUCCCUGCCCUCCCAAGCUGUGUAGCUUGAACAAAUCACGUCUCUCUAGACCUCAGUUUCCCCGCCUGCCAAUUGAGUGGAUUAGCUCAGAUUACUUCUGUGAUACUUUCCAGUUCAGACAUUCUAAGAUGUAGUGAUACUGGCGCCUUUAAUCAAACAGAAAAGCCUCCGAGAGACUCGGUAUUCGUAACAGUGACUCAAAUUAACUAUCCUCCCUCGCCUGGUGCUGCUUCCCCACAGGCGACUUGUCACUUGUGAGUUCCCAGUGUCUAGAGCAACGUCGCCGAGAUUUUCCUCCGGAGUGAAUGAAAUUCAUUUUGCUGCAGCGGUUUGGAGCACACCGAGUCUUCAAACCUGGAUUUGAGGGGAGAGAUUUUGUUCCCCUUUUCUGCAAAAUAAUACAACGCCCCCCCUCGCCUUCUUCCCCCUCCUCCCCCCAAUACACUCUCAGUAACACACCCUUUCAAAGAAACAGAGAGUCUUACUUUCGGGGAAGCUACAGGAACCAGGCAGAGGACUGCCAGAGAUAAGUUGGGAGGAUGUUUCCUUUCCCUCUUGGUUGGUCCAAUAUCGACCAGGGAGCCUUUCACUCCACCUCUGCCUGCCCAAGAAAGAACUUCCCUCUCCAUGGAACAAGUGCUACCUCUGUGAAUGAACACUGCUUUGCCUCCCUG